GACGAACGCUGGCGGCGUGCUUAACACAUGCAAGUCGAACGAAGUGGCGAACGGGUGAGUAAUACGUGGGUAACCUGCCCUCCUUUUUGGGAUAAGCCUUGUAAACGGGGUCUAAUACCGAAUAAAGGGGGAUGGGCUCGCGGCCUAUCAGCUUGUUGGUGGGGUGAUGGCCUACCAAGGCGGUGACGGGUAGCCGGCCUGAGGGGGUGCCCGGCCAAUUGGGGCCUGGGAUCCGCCCCAAAGUCCUACGGGAGGCGCCAGGGGGGGUUUGUGCACAAUGGGGGAGAGCUGGAUGCAGGGAGGCUGGGUGGGGGAUGAAGGCUUUGGGGUUGUAAACCUCUUCGGCUAUCGAAAGGGUAGGUGGAGAAGAAGCGCCGGCUAACUACGUGCCAGCAGCCGCGGUAAUUC
rnacentral:rRNA from 1 species